GAUUCGCAAUGGCUAGUGUAAGUACUACAACCCCUAUAUCAAACGACGAACGAAGAUGGGUUGUAAUUGGUGUAUGUUUGACCAAAGUGCUCACUCCUGCAUUGAGGAAUGUUCUUGCAACCGAAAUACCAAAGUGGCAUCAGGUUUUAUGUCAACCACCGACCGAAAUUGACAAGCAAGUUUAUGGUCGACAUAAAAUACAGUUAAACCCAUCAACGUUAGACCUCAAGUAUAAAAAUAUCAACAACAAUGAUGCCCUUAGAUCACCUCGUGCAUUUAAUUAUGCAGUUACAGAUCCGUUGUCUUUGGCAAAGUUGUUUGUUCAUCCUUUCAUGUCCAAGUUCACUGGCUUUGAUGAAACAAUGGACAUAUCUGCAGUCUUAUCAAUGAUUUGUGAAGCUGCUCCAUUUGUAGGAGCUGCUGCUCAUGCAAAGACAGUUCGAUCAGAAACGAGUGGGCACAUUGCAAUUUCGCAAAUUGGAGUGAAGCAAAGUUUAUUGCUGCUUUUCAAAGUAUGGAAACUUUACUUAAGAAUGUCAAUUUGUCACCUGCAGAUGAACAGAAAUUGUGUGAUGAGCUGAAUAGUUGGAAAGAUAAAGGUAAAGAAAUUACAAUUCACUUGCUUGAAGUAUGCCUAGACAAAACUGUCUGUUUUACUGUACACUUAAAAACCAUCCAUUUGGAGAGAUUUGGUAUGAAGAUUAAUUGCUUACCAUCAUUGUGAAGCUCAUUAAUAAUUCAUGAUAAAACACAAAAGAAAUCAUCAGCGUGAAGGACUUUGUAUAUCUGAUACAGAGAUCAUGCUGAUUUACUUGUAUAAACUUUAAGUUAAUUUUCUCACCAAAUAUUCAUUCAUUUAUUUUAAAUUGUUGUAUCAGACAUACAACCUCUCGCAUAUCGACAUACAACCUCUCGCUCGAGCUGAGUUUGUAUAUUUGAUACAACACGACCGCUCAUGCUUUAUCUAAUUACUUAAAUGUUUACAUUAACCUAACAUAUUAUCUCCUAGUUUUUAGACGGAAAGUUCGAGUGUAAAUUUUAUACAUUUUUAGACCUAACCAGGAGCAGCUGCGAAAAAAUGCAACUGUAAGACCUCUGGCAAGAAUCGAACCUACGGCCUUGCGAUUCCGGUGGAGCACUCUAACCAACUCGGCUAGAGAGAGUCCAGUUGUCGAGCUUAAACUGCAAUUAAUUUCAACGGUUAAAGCUCGUCCACUUGACUCUGUAGCUCGGUUAGAGUGCUGGACUGGAUUCACAGGGCAGCAGUUUUGAUUCCUGGCACAACGUGUAUAUUUGCAUUUUUCACAGCUGCUCUUCGUUAGGUCUAAAAAUGAAUAAAAUGAAUAAAAAUUACAAUCGAAAUUUCUUUUUCCAAAAACCGUUCAACAUUCAGUUAUAUCGAAUCAGAUCCCCCGAAUCAUGGUAUCUCCUCUAGCAAUCUAUCACCAGAACCUUACGGAAUAGAGUUAUUGGAAUGAUGUCCCACAAACGUUCAAAUAGGCUAUGUAAAAUAUCAUUCAAUAAAAAUAAAUUAUUUUUACAGGGUUGCAGUUGUGUUUCGGUCAACCUGUCGACGUUGAAAUCUUGACUUUACUCGGGAGUGCAAUCGACGAAGUUCGCGAAGCUGUCCAGACAUGGAUGCUACAGAAAAAUCAG
rnacentral:lncRNA from 1 species